CCUACGGGUGGCUGCAGUAGGGAAUCUUGGUCAAUGGACGAAAGUCUGAACCAGCAAAGUAGCGUGGGUGAUGACUGCCCUAUGAGUUGUAAACUUCUUUUAUAUAGGAGUAAGCUGUUGCGAGUAUGUGAUUUUGUAUGUACCGUAUGUAUCAGGAUCGCCUCACUCCGUUCCGGCAGCCGCGGUAAUCCGGUGGGUCCGUGCGUUAUCCGGAUUUAUUGGGUUGAAAGGGAACGUAGGGGGUUUUUUAAGUCUGUUGUGAAAGUCUUCGGCUCAACCGGACAAGUGCAGUUGAAACUGGGAGACUUGAGUGCAGAAGAGGUGAGUGGAACUCGAUGUGUAGCGGUGAAAUGCGUAGAUAUAUCGAAGAACACCGGUGGCGAAGGCAGCUCUCUGGACUGUAACUGACGCUGAGGUUCGAAAGCGUGGGUAGCAAACAGGAUUAGAUACCCUAGUAGUC
rnacentral:rRNA from 1 species